GAACCUCCCAACAUGCAAGAACAAGCCUCUUCUCAAGUGGCAGUCUUAUCCGGUUCAUUUGUUUGCAUCGGUCUUAUGGAGUCAGAGGAACAACGCGACAUUGACUGGGCCUUGUCGCCCUCAUCAAGAUUCUGUGUGGACCACAGGAUUCUCCUCUUGUGAUUUGUGUCUCCUUUCCAGCAUAAAUGUAAAGGAGGAGUUCACCACGGGGCAUCUGUCCGUCCUCAUGCUGAUCGUCAAGAACAACACAGCUAUGAGAUGCUUGGUGAGUUUUUUAACUGCUCCGGGAGCUCCACCCGGAUCCUCUGUAUGAAGAGAUCCAAGGCGGUGUGCCCCAACAUCUGCGGUAGCAUCCAGAAUUUAGCUUAAAGAACCACCUUUGGUGUGGCUGCAAGGGUGCAAAGCAGUCGGUGAGAUGCCGGCGAGUUCACCGCUUCAUGCGAUGGCAGGGGUGGACUUCUUCUAAUAGGGUUCUUCUUGUAUAGCAUUUUCCAUAAUUGUGUAUAUGAGGCAUACAGGCAUGUACUUACAUGUUUUCUAAUAAGUUUUUUCUUGCUUUCAGUUUCUUACUAGAAAACCUUAUAUACUGCAUACAAGUAGAGGACCAAAAAUGGAUGCAUACAAUAGAGGAAAAGAAAGUGACCCUGAAUUCUACCAUGAGGUUUCAAGUGUUCAAUAUGGUAAGGUAGCAGAACCAAUCAGUAUGUUGUGAUGUGGCCUAGAGGGUGGUGUUGGCUGUCAGAUCGGGCGGACAUGGUUUCUUCUACCGGUGCUUGAUCUUUGAUAGCCUGAGAUGCUUCUCUAAUGUGAGUAUGCGCCAAACAAGAUUAGUAUGUGGGUAUCCAUCGGCAAAGAAUGCCUAUAUCUUCACAGGGUUUGGCCUUGGUGUGGUGAUGUCUGGGGCAGUCCAUGUGCAUGAUUACAUUCUUCUUGCAGCCUGCAUGGUCUUGACCGCCAGGUCCCCCACGCCCAAGGGAGGAGCAGCGCUAGCCAAGCUUGAAGAUGGACAAGCUCGACCUCUCCUGGAACGAAGACGACCUUCUACAAGUAACUGUUGCAUGCCUCCAUCCUCUUCUGCCUCAUCCUCCAAGAAUUAGAUCUUUGUUUACCUUAGUAGGAAGAAAUACAUUGGUCAUUUAAAUAUCAUUGGAAAUAUAUCUGCCUCCAUACUCUCGUGGUACAUUUCUAAACCAGGAAUUCAAGUGUACAAUUUCUAUUUUGGCAUUAUCUUGAACCUAGAAACAUGGUAGUGAACCUGUUUUGUGGUUCUCUUUGAUGUAUACUCUAGUAUGUGUCAACAGUUGUCUACUGUCAAAUUGUAGAAUUGCUGAUGGUGUAAUGAUGCGCUACUUGGUUUCUUGCUCCUUUGUGUGGUGCAUUUUUUCUCUCUUGCAGUAGUGCCCUUUGUUGCAGUAUUUGCCUGUUCAUGACAUGUUGCAAGCCAAAUCCAGUAAACCAAUGGAGCGGAAAUGGUUACUAGAUAUACAUAAUUAGGACGGUAUGGUCGCUGGCACCACCCUUCCUCAGAAACCUAACCUGAGAUGGUAUGAGGUGCCGAGCGAGGAGAGGACGAGCUGCCUUUUCUAGCCUGGAGAUGAGCUGGUUGGUCUGCAACUGCAGCUUCACCUACCUUGUUGCUGGGGUUGUCUGCUUAGCAGCUGUCCGCGGCCGUCGGAGGUGGUGGUGACGACAACUUGCUGCCGUGACCUUUUUUUUGUCCGAGUAACUUGCUGCUGAGACUUAAUUCAGUUUUGUCGGUGACCGUGUACUUUUGUUGUUGUUUCAAGUUUAGAACCUUGGCUGGCUCCAUCUGUGAGCUGGUGUGUAUGUGUUAUGUUUGUGAUGCAACUCAAGUGACAUUAUAUUGUUCCAUAUUUUUUUC